GGGCCCGUAGCUCAGCCAGGUAGAGCGGCGGGCUCUUAACCCGUAGACAAAGGGCAGUAGCCUAGCCUGCCGUUGACGGAAGUCCCGGGUUCAAAUCCCGGCGGGCCCG
rfam:Caldisphaera lagunensis DSM 15908, complete genome.